AUGGAAGACAAUAACUACUUUCUCCCCACCCCAUCCCAAAUAAAUGAAAGGGUGGGAAAACUAAGCACUGUGGCUUCACACAUUUCUGUUUGUCUUCUAACCUCUUAUAAGAAAACACAGACUUUUAUAGCGACAUCUAUCUGCAUUGCGCUGAAAAAGAAGGACACAGUGGAGGGAACAAAUAAUGAGCGUGGUCUGGAUAACAGUUUGAAGAGAGAGACCAUUGAUUACAAUACAGAUAGAACUGCACUUCAUCAACUUAGCGGAAAGCAGCUGACAGUGGACUUCACACCUAACUCGAAUAAGGAAUUGCUAUGAAAAGUGACCCAGCGAGGAUAACUGCCCUGCGCGGUUCGAUGAGGUCACGGCAGGCAGGAGGGUAAGGACUCCAAGACCCGCAGCAGCAGCAUCGGGGGCCCAGGACCCGGACCCGGACCGGGAUGCGCCCCGGAAGCCAGCGGCUCCUGGCGGUAGCGAGGAGUGGUUAAGUGCAGCUGAGUUGUUCCUUGGGAGAUAUAUUCCACAACUGCAGUGUUCUUGGUGAUGUUUUAAAAAGGUAAGUGACCAGCCUGGGCUAAUCCUUGAGUCAGGCCAAAGGCCUGUGCCCUCUGAACUCAGCCCACAGUUCCAUCUUGCUCAAUAUAAGGAUAACACUAGAACAUCACUAGAGAGAAGCAGUGUGGACCUCACAUGCGUGUCUGGAAGUGGGUGCAUUAUGGCCAGGAUUUUGGUAGUGGCUCAGAAGUGAAAGAGCUCUGCUUGUAAUGCCCAGUUAAAUUAACCUGAGAAAACACUGUUAAAUAACAUAUUUACUAACUGGAUAAUCACUCUGUUGGGUGCCGGGGACCAGCCCCGGCUGAUCCAGGGUAUUCGAAGGAGAGACGGCAUAGGCGAAGAUCAGGAAACAAUUGCUUAAUUAAAUGUUAAUUAAGGAUAUAA
rnacentral:lncRNA from 1 species